AAUCAAUGUUAUUCUUUUUUAUUUUUAACUUGGUAAUUACUGGUAUUUAUGGGCUAACUGAAUGUAUGAAUCUUCCAGCCUUUUUGUAUUUUGGAUAGUUCACUAUGAGGGACAAAUCAUCUUGAUAAAGGAUGAAGUUCUUUGCUUUUCUGUAACUCUCAUUUCCUCUUUUUCAUAACAUUAUUGAAAAUAUCAUAUUUUCUGCAUUUUCUAACUCUGAAUCAGUAUUAGGCUGGUGGGCUAGCUCCUUGCCCAUUCUUUCAACAUAUUAUUACUACUACUAUUGCCACUACUUCAAUUAUUUGCUAUUAGUGGCCUUUUUUCUAUCUUCUCUCUCCAUUUCUUCCCAGUACAUCAAAUGCUGUUCUGAGGUCAGUGCAUCUAUGUACAUUGGAAGAGCAUUAAUAUCUAUAGGGCAGCCCAGGUUCUGGGAACCUGGCCACAUCAUCUUACGUAUACUGUAUCUAUUCAUCCUCAGAAUAGACCUCCUUAGCAGCUAUUAUUACUCCAUAUGACAAUGGGGAAACUGAGCCUGGGAGCUUGAGGAACUUGUCAGAAGACACACAGCUAGGAAGUGGCAGAGAGCAAGUGUCUGACUCCAAAGUCCACGCUCUUUCUACUUUUCAUAAUGGUUGCAUCCCAGCUCUAAAAUUUGUUUAUUUCUUCUUUCACAUACUCCGUCUUUUCAGAAAGGAUUUGAUAGAGAUGACACAUUUGUUAUUGUUCCUAAGCUCUGGCUUCUGCCUCCAUACUGCUUAAGCCCAGGAGAUUGAGGAGGAUGGCGUGGGCUGGAGGUGGACUGUGCGAGAAAGCUCUUCCUGUCACCAGAACCCUUGCUUGUCACCAAGUGGCCCACUUGCAACAGACUCCAGGAUGUCCCAGCCAGGGGAGUGUUGGAGUUGUUUGUGAUCGGGUGAUCCCAGGCUUAGCUUGGCCAUCACACUCGUCAUGCAACCGGAGCCUUUGACGAUGGCCCCUUUUGCUGGGAACCCUUAGAUAGGACUGUGGGGGAGCUCUGACUGCUGUUUCCCCAAAAUGGCGCCCCCUGUCAGCAGGAAGCUGUUAAGAUGGGUCUUUGUCCUUAUCUUCAGUCUAACAACGGUUAGAAGUACUUCUUUAUAGCUGGGAAUGAGACAACCAGGUGAAAUGUGGACCCUGGAGAAACUCCAACCAGCCUGCCCACUGAAGUGGACCCUCAGGUAGUUGGUACCCUUUGCAGCGGGGAGAAGCUUGGCCCCUCCUCUUCCUGUGUGGAAGCUGGGAUUCAAAUGGCAGGAGGUAAGUGCUCUAACAGGGGACUCUGGCCUUGCAGAGGAUCCCUGUUUCCCCUUUUUUCUCCCUCUUUCACCCAAUAAAACCAUGCUUUACCCACCCUUUAAACCAUUUGCAAGCCUAAAUUUUUGUGGCUGUGGGACAGACAGGAACUCUGUCUUUAGCUGAACUAAGGAAAAGUCCUGCAACAGCAUGAUGCUGGUGUGUCCAGAAUUGGUUCCUGCCGGUGGGAUCGUGGUCUCACUGACUUCAAGAACGAAGCCGCAGACCUUGGCGGUGAGUGUUAUAGCUCUUAAAGAUGGCAUGGACCCAAAGAGUGAGUGGUAGCAAGGUUUAUUGUGAAGUGUGAAAGGACAAAACUUCUACGGCAUGGAAGGGGACCCGAGCAGGUUGCUGCUUCUGGCUGGGGUGGCCAACUUUUAUUCCCUUAUUGUCCCCUUCCAUGUUCCAUUUCUGUCCUAUCACAGUGCCCUUUUUUCAAUCCUCCCCGCAAUUGGCUACUUUUAUAAUCCUGCUUAUUGGUGCAUUUUACAGAGUGCUGAUUGGUGUGUUUUACAAUCCUCGUGUAAGACAGGAAAGUUCCCCAAAUCCCCACACAACCCAAGAAGUCCAGCUGGCCUCACCUCUCACUGACAUCUUCUCGGGAGCCCUCAAGAAGCUUUCAUGGUGGAAGGCAAAGGGGAAGCCAGCACGUCUUCCACGGCCAGAGCCGGAGCAAGAGAGAGACAGAGGAGAUGCCCCACACUAUUUAAAUGAACAGAUCUCAUGAGAACUCACUCACUAUCACAAGAACAUCAGCAAGGGGGAAAUCUGCCCCAUGAGCCAAUCACCUCCCACCAGGCCCCACUUCCAAUAUUGAAGAUUACAAUUCAACAUGUGAUUUGGGCAGGGACACACAUCCAAGCCAUAUCAAUAACUCAACUAAUCCAAACUGGAGGGGCAAACAAGCAGCUGGGGCCCUACACUGAUCCUCAGUUGCCCAACUUCUUUGGGCUUUGAUAAAAACAGAUGCAUUUCUGACAUCAUAUUUUUUUUUAAUUAAGAUUUUCUAGAGAGACAGGGUCUCAUGAUAUUGUUUAGGCUGGUCUCUAGCUCCUGGCCUCAAGCAAUUCUUCCACGUUGGCCUCCCAAAGUGCUGGGAUUACAAACGUGAGCCACUGUGCCUGGCCUGUCAUCAUAAUUUAAAUGGAGAAAACAUUAUUUUAAAUCACUUGGUCCUGAAAAAUCUUAAUGGUUUGGUUGAUUAUAUACAAAUAUAUGCUUGUGCAUUCUUUGUGCUAUUUCUAGUAGUUUUGCUUACAGGUUUAUUUCAUACAGCUGUUAGUGUCAUUUUUCCAGUACUAAAAAAUAUCCUAACAGCAGUAAUACACCACACAAUUAAAAUGACCACACACACACACACACAGACACGCACAGGCACAUAUCUCUCUAUUGUUAAUGGUCUAGUAGUCAGAUUCAAAAUGGAGAAAUUUGUUGUAAAGAUAUUAACACACAAUGGUCUUUAUAGAUCAUUGCUUCCAAAGAUGCACUAAAAGUUGAAAUUGUGUUCAUUUUCUGGGAAAAUUAAUAUGUAACAUUCUGAAAGUCUGCAUCUUUCAUUGGUCCUUCUAAUAGGCUCACGGUUUCAUUUCCUUUGUUUUGCUCAAGUCAGUAAUGCAAAUGUUAAGCUCCCUCUAUUAGUGCCCCUUAAAAGUAAGUUGAUACUUUGGAGCUCUUAAGUGGACCUAAAUGGUUUUUCAGGCAUUAUCAUUUCUGUUUUCCACUAGCCAGGGAGACCCUAAGGGUGGGGAGACAUGGCUUCUUUGUAACCCUCACAAUGCCCGUACAGUCCAUUAUGGGCUUAGUAGGAUUUUUUGUUAUUAACUUGGGAAUGCCGUAGUUGUCUGUAGAAGUGAACAGGAAAUAAACAUUGUCUACAUGUGGAAAUGAUGCAAAUUUUAAACUCUUAUAGUACACUUUUCAAGCCAAUUUUAAGUUGAGACUCAGAGUGUAGAAAAGUAAGCCUUCUAUAAUGUAUCUCUGAGCAGGGCCAUUUUACUUAAAAUUAGUGAAGUUGUCUCCUUGACCUGUUGAAGACUCAAUGAAAAUAAAUUAGAGCUGAGCUUUAAACCAUUCAUUCCUUCCCACUUCCCAUGUUUCUAAUUGUUUUGGGUCCUGAUUUAGAGAAAGCCAAUAAAAUAUUAUGGCUUUCUAAGCUAUCAAUUAAUGGACAAUUUAGAAAAUGCUUAUGGGUUGUCUUCCAUCUCCAAACUUGGUGGAGCAAAUUGAAAUGGAUGACUCAUGUCUAGGGGAUCAAGCAUGUUAAAUCAAUGAACAUGUUUGCUUGAAUCUCAUCUCCUAAUGAGCUGAAACAGAUAGAACAUUUCUCAUGCAUCCAGAUGGAAUUAUUUUGGAAAGUAAACUAAUGCACAUGCCCACACAAAAUUCCUCUGCUAUCUCUAGCCAGAUUCUGUUAGCUGUUCACCAAGAUGAUUUACCAACAAUAUGAGGUUGGGCUGCUUCUUUAUAUUAUUGGCUCCACAGGAAUUCUUCCAGAAGACAAUAUUUUUUCUAUUUUGUUUUGUUCAAUUUAAUAAUAUCAUGUACAAUAUUUUCUAGAUGCUGUGAGUUUGUAUGUGUAUCUUGAAUGUGGGGGAGGUUUAGGUUUUAUGACAGUAAGUGGAAUUCACUUAUUAAGGUUAUUUGACUUAGAAUUGAUUAUUUAUGCCAAUACUUGCUAAUAUUUAAAAUUAUUUCACUGUUCAUUGCCCUUACUAUGUAAAACUCUCUUGAAAGUCACUAAGAAAAAACAUAAACAACUCAAAAUAAAAAAGUAAAUUGGAAUAACUUUUGGAGGUCAGUUUUCCAAUGUGUAUCAAAAGCCCUAAAAAAUAUACUUCCCGUG
rnacentral:lncRNA from 1 species